rnacentral:ribozyme from 1 species
GACACGCUCUAUAUUUACAUGACCCAGUGACGUUGAAAAGCUUUGUAUCAAACAAAUCGUAGAGAAAUGAAUCAAAAGUCUGCAGCACAUCUAUUUCUCCUUCUUUGAUCUUUUCUUUUUCUUCUUCGAAUCUUUUUUCGACUUUUUCUUUUUAUCUGCA